GUUGUAAAAUUAACUAAGUAAUGGAAAAGUAAUGGAUAAAUUGACCAAGUUGAAGGUACAAUUGCAAGUUUCGAUAAUGUAAAACAUAUUUGUGUUUGUCUUCAAGAGUGCAUUGCCGACCAACUUAAACCAGGACUUGUAUAAAAAUGGCAUGGAUCAAGAUCAUAGCAUUGUUGGGACAUAUUCCGAAAUUCUUCGAAAACAUCAGCCAGCAAUAACACAUCAGUUUUAAGGGCUGCUUGGACUCUGAGCAUAGUUGUGAUCAAACGUUGGUUGUAGUGGUGUGGAUUGUGUUGCCGCUAGCGAAGAUGUCUCUGAAGGUGUCUCCGAGUCGUCUGCAUUUAUGUUCUUUGCUGAAAUGGACGAAACACAAUCAAUGUCUGAGAAGGGAAUAUGUCAGUACGAAGUUUAUAAAGCUGGUUUGAGUGAGGACUCACAUCAACAAAGGUGAUAGUUUGUGAACGACAAUCUGAUCUUUCGAAUGGGUACUUGGCUGAUGCUGUCUUCAACAUCUCUGAAUGAGCCACGAUGAGUGCAGGAUUAACUCUUACUUUUCGAGCGACUCACUUUUGGCUUGAUCUACAGUCUGUUCAGCUGGUGAAACCGCUUUGAUGGAAACACUUCCAGGUUCUUCAAUUAACUUUGAUGUACAAUGUCAAAUCCGGCGAGGAAAAUAGCGGUGUGGACCACGGACGAGAUGUCUUCCAAGGACUCCCGUUUAAUUCAUUAUUUGAACUUGUUUGUCCAAUCAUUUUCAAAAAUAAACAAUUUGGUGAAAUAUUUUUAUGUUGUUGCAUGGG